AACGAACGCUGGCGGCGUGUUUAAGACAUGCAAGUCGCACGGAGUGAGAUUGUAGCAAUACCGUCUCACUCAGUGGCGCACGGGUGAGUAACACGUGAAUUACAUGCCCUUCAGUGGGGAAUAGCCCAGGGAAACUUGGAUUAAUACCCCAUGGUAUCGCAAGAUUAAAGGUGGCCGCAAGGCUGUCGCUGAAGGAUUGGUUCGCGCCCUAUCAGCUUGUUGGUGAGGUAACGGCUCACCAAGGCUACGACGGGUACCUGGUCUGAGAGGACGAUCAGGCACACUGGAACUGAGACACGGUCCAGACACCUACGGGUGGCAGCAGACGAGAAUAAUUCACAAUGGACGAAAGUCUGAUGGUGCAACGCCGCGUGGAGGAUGACGGUCUUCGGAUUGUAAACUCCUGUCAUCCGGGAGUAAGACCUGGCUGUGAAUAGCAGACAGGGUUGAUAGUACCGGAAGAGGAAGGGACGGCUAACUUCGUGCCAGCAGCCGCGGUAAAAC
rnacentral:rRNA from 1 species